AGCCGGAGAAGGGGCGGGGUCUCAGCUUCUACUUCAUUCUACGGCCGAGACCGGAGGAUGUUCCCUGCUCAGGAGGAGGCCGACAGGACCGUAUUUGUGGGGAAUUUAGAGGCCCGAGUUCGGGAAGAGAUUCUGUACGAGCUGUUCCUUCAGUUUCUUAUAGGCGGGGCCACUAACCAAAGUGACUAUAUGCAAAGACAGAGAAGGAAAGCCAAAGUCUUUUGGAUUUGUCUGCUUUAAACACCCAGAAUCGGUGUCUUAUGCCAUAGCUUUGCUGAAUGGAAUUCGUUUAUAUGGAAGACCAAUUAACGUGCAGUAUCGAUUUGGGAGUUCUCGCUCUUCUGAACCAGCUAACCAAAGUUUUGAGAGCUAUCUUAAGAUAAAUUCACACAACUACAGGAAUGAAGAAAUGGUGGUGGGCAGAUCUUCCUUUCCCAUGCAGUAUUUUCCAAUUAAUAAUACUUCUUUACCUCAAGAAUAUUUUCUCUUUCAGAAGAUGCAGUGGCAUGUGUAUAAUCCAGUGCUGCAGCUUCCUUACUAUGAAAUGACAGCUCCACUUCCUAAUAGUGCAUCUGUGUCUUCCUCACUGAAUCAUGUUCCAGAUCUUGAGGCUGGACCCAGCUCAUAUAAAUGGACUCACCAACAACCAAGUGACUCUGACCUUUAUCAGAUGAAUAAACGAAAGAGACAAAAGCAAACAAGUGAUAGUGAUAGUAGCACAGACAACAACAGAGGCAACGAAUGUAGCCAAAAGUUCCGAAAGUCUAAGAAGAAGAAAAGAUACUAGUAUUACCUACAAAUGAAACUUACCUACACUGAUCUUAGUUCUCUUAUGAAAAAAAUAAGAUGUUAUUCCAUCAAAUAACCAAUGUCAUGGCUAUCUUGUCUUUUGAAAUAUAUAGUAAUAAGACUUAUCUCUGGUUUGCUGUUCAAUUUUUGCCUUGAACGACAAAAGCUUUCUAAAAAUAAUAUAAUGUACCACUUUUUGUAUUUGUCAUGAUAUUUUUGACCCAUUGGCAAUAAAUAGACUAUUGUCAUUUUAUUAGUACCAAUGAUGAAAUUUCACCAAACUAUUAAUCAAAAGUCACUUAUUGAACACAUUGAUAAAGCAUCAUGUUCCCUUUGAUUAUCCCGUGUAACCAACACUCACCUACAAAUAGGCUGGGAUUAAAUGUGGAGUGGUGGAUUUCCUGAAAGAAAGUAGUGCAGAUAUUUAAGGAUUGCAUAUUGUUCCUAAUGAGGAUGUAAUAAACAGGCAUUAGUACCCCUUUCUUGUAGUACCUAAAUAUGUUGUUUCUGAGCCAUAUUCUUCUUCAGGUUUAUUUUAUAAAGUGAGGACAUAUGAUAAUGAUACCAAAGGAAAGAUAAUGAUCAUGAAACCAACUUUUGGAUCAUUCCCUUUUUAUACAAUUGUGUAUUUAUAGGGAUACCUGCCUCUUCUCACAUAUUAAUUGUAUGUCAUUAAAAUCAGUUGGCUAUGUCAGUGUGUAUUAUUCACCUCUUUCGCUAGCUAGGUUUGAGAUGAUAUAUUAACAUUUAAAUUGUGAAAAUGAGCAAGUAAAUAGAAUAAUAUUAAUGUAUGAUAUGUAAUACUUAUUGUCUAAAUCAAGUUUCCUAUUUUUGGCUAAUUUAUUUUAGAAGAAAAGUAAAAUUCAUUAUUUGGGCAUUUUUGUUUAUAGCUCAUUACAAACUAGAGUGAUGAAUAUAUAUAUUUACUAAAGCUAAUUGAAAGAGUCAUGCAACUCAAUUGGGAAUUAACCACUCAAUUCAAUAGUAAAAGCCAUGCUUGGAUGUUUCUUUUGCAUGUUGCCUAGCAUUUUAUAGAUAUUUAUUAUUUAAAAAAAUAAAGAUAUGUUUUUAAUGAA
rnacentral:sRNA from 1 species